CGUGGCGUAGGACCUCUCUCCGUUUUGAGAGAGUAAAGAGGAAAGGAGGAACUUUAAUGUGAAUGAUCAAAUGUCUCUAUCUGUUGGUGCCCCACAUAUCUCAGUCAUGUUGUCCUCAACCACAGCACUAGAUGCCUAUUCCAUCUCUCUAUCAUUGUAAGUCCUUUUCAGUUCCCUGUUUGCUAAAGAAGCUAUCAUCAUCAACACCUCCCUC
rnacentral:lncRNA from 1 species